rnacentral:misc_RNA from 1 species
ACACCUCAACUCUCAUGGUUUGCCAUGAUGAGCUUGGACUUUGGGGGUCUUGCUGGCCUGUGGUCAGCUCCUCUCAAAUGAAUCAGCUUGCCAGUGUUUGGUGGCAUCACGGGUGUGAUAACUAUCUACGCUUGUGGUUUUCCGCCAGAUAACCUUCAGUGACAUGGAGGUUUGCUGGAGCUCAUAAACGUCUCUCCCCCAGCGAAGACAGCUUUGUGAAU